GUCAACUGUGUGGGGCAGAAAAAGAAGGAGGGGGGUUAGUCCUCUGUGAGCCACCCGGUUAUUAAGGAGUCACAUGGCACUGUGUGUGUGUCACCCCCAGCUCAGGGGCCUCCUCCUGCUCCUGCUAACAGCUCCACAGCACAGCAAACAGGUUCCUGCACAGCCCUGUUUACAUGGAUUUGUUUUCCCCAAGGAGCCACCCUGGUUCAGGCUGCCAUUAGGAGCAUCCAUUACUCAGUUCAGGCAAGGACAGCAAGCCCCACUGGCUCAGCUGACCCAGGGAGGCAGAACCAUAUUACCUGGGACUCCCAAGACAUCCAUUUUCCCACAGGUUUAUUCCCCAGGAAGGGAUUGGAAGUGACAGCCUAGCUCCUCUUCCUGCCAUGCAGCAGUGGGCUCUCAACACCCUCCUUAACUCGGCCCUUGGGCCUUGCCCUGGCUACAGCAACAUCCAGAUUUCACUUGAGACCCUCAUUUUCCUAUUGAUAAUUCCUCUGAGGAAGCCCCCGUUCUGCACUGGGAUGUAAAGCUUCACACCUGAUUAACACCGUGGCACAGAAGGAGCAAGCCUGUGUCCUGGCUUGGAAGUCUCCUGCAGGCUCUCUUGGGAGAAAGGGAAGCAUUAAUCCUGCUCCUCCCUCCUGUAACUCACCAUUAUAGCUGUCUGCUUCUGGGUCUUCCACAUUGAUAGCAAUUAUCUUCCAGUCUGUCUCUCCCUCAUCAAUCAGUGCCAGCGUGCCCAGCACCUUCACUCUGAUGACUUCUCCCCGGGAGCAGACCUGCAAGGACAAAGACCUUGGUGUCCUUGCUGAUGCAUCCAAGGAAUGCACGACAGGAGACUGUACAAGAGCUCAGCAAGCAGUCAGGUACCACGAAAUUAGGUCUCGCUUAUCAGCAGCUCAUAAGCCUUGGCUCAUCUCAACAACAAUCUUCAGAGGCAGUAGAGGGAAACAUCACAUCCUUAAUGUGGAGGAGGUAGGAAAUAAAUAAUGUCUCUGGCUAAUUGACUUUGGAGACAUUAAUUACAGGUUUCAGAAGACAGUUACCCUCUAGAAUGCGUUACCUUGCUUCCAAUUUCGCACACAUCGAUCGGAUCGUUAUCUCCACAGCAGCCAGUAUUUUCAUCCUUGUGACCUGGGUCUUCCCAAGUCUGGAAAAAAACAACACCAAAGUCAACCACACCUGCAAACAAGAACUCCAAAAAAAAAAAAGCAGGUUUGUUUCAGGCAUGCAGUGCCUGGAAGAUACAGAUGAUGGCCCACUUCACACUCGCUUUCAGGACUGGUGCUUGAGCUACUUUUUCACUUGUGCCUGCUAAGUUUGAAUCCCAGUUAAAAGGCCUUAUCUUGCCAAGGGUCAGCUGCUCCCUCCUACCAACAAACCUUUCAACAAAGCUUUUUUCAACAACUUUCCAGACUUCCUCCUGUUCCACAGCCGCCUAAAGGUGAAGUUCACAUCUAUAAAGAACACUCGUUGAUUUGGCUGCCUGCCUGUUCCUCUCCCUAUUCAUUUCUUAACAGAAGUUUCCUGAGCUCCAGAUAGCAGUCCAGCAGAGAUGGAAGACAGACAGGGUGUAUUGUUUCCUUUUAAUUAAACAAUUAAAAUGAUAAGAAUGCAGAGCCCCACACCCUGUGCUACCCAGUGUCCCAUCUCACCCACAGUGGUGAGUGUAAACUGAAAGACAGGACUGCAGAAGGCAUUUGACUCCAAAACCAACAGCUUCUGAUCAGGAGCAAAAGAACUCCAUGCCCACUUGCAUCAUAAGGGGUAUCUACCUCUAAGGGGGUUGAGAUAUAAAAAGAAGGAGUAUCAUUCCCAAAUCUCUGCAUACCAGGACAGGACUAGUAUAGUGAAGACCUCGUGACGGAUCCAGAGUGUUCAGGAAGGUGUAGUGACACCUGGGUGGUGCUGAAGGACCGUUCACAAUCGCUACCACACUCCUCUACAAGGAGGUGUUAAGCUCCUGAUGCAUAAACAACUUUGAUCCACUAACACAUGACAGAGCAAAGGCUUCAAAAGAUGCAACUCUGCACAAAGAAGUGGGCUCCAGAAUCCAUCUGAGCAGAAAACAACUCGAGUUUGAGAGCCUGUGUUAAGUCACGUAGGGACAACGCUCAGCAUGCACUGCUAUCAAGACUAGAAUUAUCAAAUUCAGAGUGUUUCCCUGGGAUCUCACACUGACAGUUUAUUUCUCUGAAGGAAACCCCAGCCUUGGAGAACAUCAGGGGCAAACAGCCUUCCUCCAAGUCCCCCUUUAUCUAGCAGUCCCCAGCCAGUUCAGAGCAUGUGUCCAGAUGCCCCUAUCUGUUGGUCCCGCCUUGCCAGUUGGCUUCUGAGAAAGCACAUCUGUGCAGUGGUGGGUGUUGGCAAGAAGAAUCUUCCUUAAAGAUUCAGCCUAAAUCCCGUACCACUAGGAUAAAACUUUAGCUCUUUGUGCUUCACCAGGCAGGAACUGAAGGCCCUGCAUUGCCAGAUGCACGGUGACAGCUUCCUUCAUCCAAGGACCUGCCAGCUACUGUCCAGCCAAGGAGAGGAGCAGCACAGCAGGUACCUCACUAUCAGCAGCUGCUCAUCCUCUGACAGCUUGUUUAUAACAUCGGCUAGAAGCCUAACUGUUGGGAUUUCUGCUUAGAAAGACCCCUGUUUUCCUGACAGGUUCUCUCAAUUAGCAGGAUUACAUAUCCAGCUGCAAAUGCCACGUUCCAGGUCAGACUCUUUGCUGAGUUUUUGCUCAUUAAUACAGUGGCAAUAACAGGCAUCCUCCCUCCUCCCCACCAGCAUGGCUGAGCCACUGGGACGGAUCAGUGUACCUGUGGGAUAGCACCGUAAUUCCAGAUGUAGCCCUUGUGGGGAAACACGUUGGCUACGUAGCGCAGCUUUCCUUUCUUCACGUCUUGCUUAAUUGGGUUUAAGGGUUCCUUUGUUGCAAUCUGAAAGAAAAGUUGCAUAAAUCCCCCUGCUUUGCUCUCUAUGGAAAAAACAAGUGAUUUUUUUUUUUUAAUGGAACUGACAAGCCAAGAGACCAGGAGCUGACCCUGAAGCCAGCAGCAGAUACUGGACAGCUCCGUUUUCCUGUUGCAUUGCCAUCUCCUGGGAUAUAGUUUUCAGCAGACUCCCAAGCAUCAGAAUCACAUGGGGUUAAGAGCCAUAAAAUGCUGCUUUAAUCAGAAGCCACAGAAGAAUACCCAGGCAAACUUCUGCAAUCUCAGCUUCCAUGCCAGACCUCUAGCAUUGAGCAAGUACUGACAGGAGAAGUUAGAAACCACUCUGAUUCUGGAGGUGGGAUUGAGAAGGAGAGAAUCAGCAGAGCCAAAGAUUAAGACUUAGCCAGCUCAAGCCCCUUUGCUAGGAACUGUAAUGUAGUUACCUCCAUUUUAGCAUUUGUCCAUCGAGGUACUUCCACAACCAUGUUGAACACAUUCUGAAGAAAGUAAAACAUCAGUGAGUGGGAAGGAAGACCACACUUUAAACUAGGAAACACAUGCCAGCCAGCUCCCAUGAAACCCUAAGAUUUUUUUCUGUGGGUUUUUUUUUUUUUUGAUGCAGCUGAUGAAACUCCCAUAGCCCAGUCAGUCACAUGGAAUCACUUAAAGCUGAAUCCCAGAAAAGACCCCAGCAAAGGCCAGAUUGAGGUUACCCACACAUUCUGCAGGUUACCCCCACAUUCUCCAUCAGUUGCCACCUACAAACAUCCCCAUCACAUUCCUGGGACACAGAACAGCAGGUUAAAUGAACUGAACACAGCUGCACACAAACUAUCCUGGACGUAACAAAAUGAGGUUUGGGGCAUAUUUAUUAAAUACAAAGUGCUUAAUGUUCCAGCAAGGGCUGCUCUGGCCAUCUAGAACAGAUAAGAAUAACAGGAACAAGCCACCAACUUAAUAAUGUGGGUAUCUAUGUUCUGCCCUGAAUGACCGAGGACAUCGCUCCCAAAUAUCUGCCAUGAUGUAGGGAAGGAUGCCCUCUCUCCAAGCUGACACUCCUAUAAAAGAAGACCUCGUUAGUGGCAUGGUGUGAGGAUAAAGGUGGGGGAGGAGAAAUGCAGAACCACAUCUUGCAGUAUUCAGUUUACAGGUGAUGCUUGAAAACAUCUCCUGUUGAUCCCGUUGGGCUGAGGCCUCUUGAGACCUCAGUGUCAGCCUCCUCACCCAGAAAAGCUUUCCCACACUUGAACCUCAACAUCUGCUGCUUGAAGAGAUUAUGGCUGUUCAACAAAAAGUCAAACCUUGCUCCCUAGCCUGGACAAGGUUUCUAAUCCCCACCUUAAGCUGUAUUAGCACGGCAAAGUCCCUCGAACGUGUAUUGCGCCAUUAUUAGACUGAUACUGUGCAACAAGCACUGCUACAUCACUGACUUUGCUCACACCCUGCCCUAGCAGAGGUUUAUUACCCCCCUUAAUUGCAGGGGUCACUGCUCAUUUGUAUUUUGCAUGUAAAAAGGUACACCCUAUUUUUAUUCCUAACGGGAGGAGAGGAAUGAGGCACUGGGAUCAGGCUGGGCAGGGUGCUCACGGCUCUGCAGGCAGGGAAAGGUGACUCGGAGCUGCAUCUUUGUAAGGCUUGGAGUUCCCCCACUGUCAGAUCUGCCUUGGCCUAAGACACUCAGUGAGCAGCCCAAGGUCGUUCCAAGGCACUCAGGUACAGAUAAGACCAACCCAGCCCAGCCCCAGACCGGAAAAAACACCCUGCAAUCCUCUCAGCGUCUUAGGAGUCUAAGGAUAAAGAUCAAGGAGCCCAGACAGAGUGAGACAACCUUUGGCUCCGAGCUGGGCUCUGUAACAGAGCUGGCAACCCACCUGCUCAGUAAUGAGUUAAACCUCAGUGCAGAGACACUCGAGCCACAGAGGGAGGCCUGGUGUGAUCAGCACCAUUGUGUAACUUUGGGGACUGAGACCUUCAGUGCCUGGGACUCUUUUCUCUGAAUGACUUGGCACGGAGGUGCUGGCAGCAGCCCUGUGUGCCUCAGGUAAACACCAGUAGCUUGGUUUCCCCUGUUAAGCAUUACCAGUCCAUGGAAAUCCUCCCCACCCCUGUGCUCACUCCCCUGCUCCUUCCUCCCCUGUUCUGCGAGCAUCUGCAAAGCAGGAUUAUCCGGAUUUGCCUUGUCUGGGGUUACCUUUCAGACACCUGCACUGAAAACUGCUUCCCCACUCGGCCACAGGAACUGCUUCACCUCUGUCCUUGAUGACUACAAUCCAUCAUUUCCCUUCUGAGCAGGCUUCCUGGAGCACCCCAGGUAGCUCCAUCACCUCCACCUCAGUAGCUCAAUCCGCUGCUUUUUUUAGACGUUCAUCUCUCAACUCAGAAUAUUCUUUUCCCUUCCCAGAACCACUCUACACCUCCAAAUUACAUCUCUGUCUAAUGAACAUUAGCUCAUCCACUGCAUUUCUCAAGCUGCACAGCUUUUUAGUACAUAUUAGAGGAAGAGAUGAGCUACAACAGCACAGAACACAGUCAGAGAGCUCAGGGUGCCAGUGAAUAUGCAGUCAGUGAAAAAUGAAUCACAACCAUUUUGGCUUCCUGGA